rnacentral:rRNA from 1 species
UACGUAGGGGGCAAGCGUUGUCCGGAUUUAUUGGGCGUAAAGAGCGUGUAGGCGGCCAAACAGGUCAGCUGUGAAAACUCGAGGCUCAACCUCGAGACGUCGGUUGAAACCGUUUGGCUAGAGUCCGGAAGAGGAGAGUGGAAUUCCCGGUGUAGCGGUGAAAUGCGCAGAUAUCGGGAAGAACACCCGUGGCGAAGGCGGCUCACUGGACUGGUAUUGACGCUGAAGUGCGAAAGCGUGGGGAGCAAACAGG